GACGAACGCUGGCGGCGUGCUUAACACAUGCAAGUCGAGCGAUGAAGCUCCUUCGGGAGUGGAUUAGCGGCGGACGGGUGAGUAACACGUGGGUAACCUGCCUCAUAGAGGGGAAUAGCCUUCCGAAAGGAAGAUUAAUACCGCAUAAGAUUGUAGCUUCGCAUGAAGCAGCAAUUAAAGGAGUAAUCCGCUAUGAGAUGGACCCGCGUCGCAUUAGCUAGUUGGUGAGGUAACGGCUCACCAAGGCGACGAUGCGUAGCCGACCUGAGAGGGUGAUCGGCCACAUUGGGACUGAGACACGGCCCAGACUCCUACGGGAGGCAGCAGUGGGGAAUAUUGCACAAUGGGGGAAACCCUGAUGCAGCAACGCCGCGUGAGUGAUGACGGUCUUCGGAUUGUAAAACUCUGUCUUCAGGGACGAUAAUGACGGUACCUGAGGAGGAAGCCACGGCUAACUACGUGCCAGCCGCCGCAGUAAAAC
rnacentral:rRNA from 1 species